rnacentral:rRNA from 1 species
UACGUAGGGUCCGAGCGUUGUCCGGAAUUACUGGGCGUAAAGGGCGCGUAGGCGGCUCGCUAAGUUGGAUGUGAAAACUCUGGGCUUAACCCAGAGCCUGCAUUCAAAACUGACGGGCUAGAGUUCUGGAGGGGAUAGCGGAAUUCCGUGGUGUAGCGGUGAAAUGCGUAGAUAUCAGGAGGAACACCGGUGGCGAAGGCGGAUCUCUGGGCCUUACCUGACGCUGAGGUGCGAAAGCGUGGGGAGCAAACAGGA